GAUGAACGCUAGCUACAGGCUUAACACAUGCAAGUCGAGGGGCAGCAUGGUCUUAGCUUGCUAAGGCCGAUGGCGACCGGCGCACGGGUGAGUAACACGUAUCCAACCUGCCGUCUACUCUUGGACAGCCUUCUGAAAGGAAGAUUAAUACAAGAUGGCAUCAUGAGUUCACAUGUUCACAUGAUUAAAGGUAUUCCGGUAGACGAUGGGGAUGCGUUCCAUUAGAUAGUAGGUGGGGUAACGGCCCACCUAGUCUUCGAUGGAUAGGGGUUCUGAGAGGAAGGUCCCCCACAUUGGAACUGAGACACGGUCCAAACUCCUACGGGAGGCAGCAGUGAGGAAUAUUGGUCAAUGGGCGCAGGCCUGAACCAGCCAAGUAGCGUGAAGGAUGACUGCCCUAUGGGUUGUAAACUUCUUUUAUAAAGGAAUAAAGUCGGGUAUGUAUACCCGU
rnacentral:rRNA from 1 species